rnacentral:rRNA from 1 species
AAUGGGCGAAACGUGAUCCAGCCAUGCCGCGUGAGUGAAGAAGGCCUUAGGGUUGUAAAGCUCUUUUGGCAGGGACGAUAAUGACGGUACCUGCAGAAUAAGCCCCGGCAAACUUCGUGCCAGCAGCCGCGGUAAUACGAAGGGGGCUAGCGUUGUUCGGAUUUACUGGGCGUAAAGCGCACGUAGGCGGGUUGUUAAGU